AUAAUUCCUACAAUUGUUUCUUGAGUUCCUCUAAUUCGGCUUUUACCAUUUGAUACGGAGUCUUAGAGAUAGAGCUCGUAUCAGGAAUUAAGUCAAUGAAUAACUCGAUCUCUUGGUCUGCAGGUAGACCUAGAAGAUCUUUUGAGAAAACAUCAAAAAAUUCCUUCACCACUAGUGUCUGUUGUAGAUUAACUUCUCUACUUUUAUUCUCCACUACGUAAGUUAAAUACCCUG
rnacentral:lncRNA from 1 species